rnacentral:rRNA from 1 species
AUUGAACGCUGGCGGCAUGCUUUACACAUGCAAGUCGAACGGUAACAGGGUGCUUGCACCGCUGACGAGUGGCGAACGGGUGAGUAAUGCGUCGGAACGUGCCGAGUAGUGGGGGAUAACGCAGCGAAAGUUGUGCUAAUACCGCAUACGUACUGAGGUAGAAAGUGGGGGACCUUCGGGCCUCACGCUAUUCGAGCGGCCGACGUCUGAUUAGCUAGUAGGUGAGGUAAAGGCUCACCUAGGCGACGAUCAGUAGCGGGUCUGAGAGGAUGAUCCGCCACACUGGGACGGAGACACGGCCCAGACUCCUACGGGAGGCAGCAGUGGGGAAUUUUGGACAAUGGGCGAAAGCCUGAUCCAGCCAUGCCGCGUGUCUGAAGAAGGCCUUCGGGUUGUAAAGGACUUUUGUCGGGGAGGAAAUCCCUAGCGUUAAUACCGCUGGGGGAUGACAGUACCUGAAGAAUAAGCACCGGCUAACUACGUGCCAGCAGCCGCAGUAA